GUGUGACUGCGUACCUUUUGUAUAAUGGGUCAGCGACUUAUAUUCUGUAGCAAGGUUAACCGAAUAGGGGAGCCGAAGGGAAACCGAGUCUUAACUGGGCGUUAAGUUGCAGGGUAUAGACCCGAAACCCGGUGAUCUAGCCAUGGGCAGGUUGAAGGUUGGGUAACACUAACUGGAGGACCGAACCGACUAAUGUUGAAAAAUUAGCGGAUGACUUGUGGCUGGGGGUGAAAGGCCAAUCAAACCGGGAGAUAGCUGGUUCUCCCCGAAAGCUAUUUAGGUAGCGCCUCGUGAAUUCAUCUCCGGGGGUAGAGCACUGUUUCGGCAAGGGGGUCAUCCCGACUUACCAACCCGAUGCAAACUGCGAAUACCGGAGAAUGUUAUCACGGGAGACACACGGCGGGUGCUAACGUCCGUCGUGAAGAGGGAAACAACCCAGACCGCCAGCUAAGGUCCCAAAGUCAUGGUUAAGUGGGAAACGAUGUGGGAAGGCCCAGACAGCCAGGAUGUUGGCUUAGAAGCAGCCAUCAUUUAAAGAAAGCGUAAUAGCUCACUGGUCGAGUCGGCCUGCGCGGAAGAUGUAACGGGGCUAAACCAUGCACCGAAGCUGCGGCAGCGACACUAUGUGUUGUUGGGUAGGGGAGCGUUCUGUAAGCCUGUGAAGGUGUGCUGUGAGGCAUGCUGGAGGUAUCAGAAGUGCGAAUGCUGACAUAAGUAACGAUAAAGCGGGUGAAAAGCCCGCUCGCCGGAAGACCAAGGGUUCCUGUCCAACGUUAAUCGGGGCAGGGUGAGUCGACCCCUAAGGCGAGGCCGAAAGGCGUAGUCGAUGGGAAACAGGUUAAUAUUCCUGUACUUGGUGUUACUGCGAAGGGGGGACGGAGAAGGCUAUGUUGGCCGGGCGACGGUUGUCCCGGUUUAAGCGUGUAGGCUGGUUUUCCAGGCAAAUCCGGAAAAUCAAGGCUGAGGCGUGAUGACGAGGCACUACGGUGCUGAAGCAACAAAUGCCCUGCUUCCAGGAAAAGCCUCUAAGCAUCAGGUAACAUCAAAUCGUACCCCAAACCGACACAGGUGGUCAGGUAGAGAAUACCAAGGCGCUUGAGAGAACUCGGGUGAAGGAACUAGGCAAAAUGGUGCCGUAACUUCGGGAGAAGGCACGCUGAUAUGUAGGUGAAGUCCCUCGCGGAUGGAGCUGAAAUCAGUCGAAGAUACCAGCUGGCUGCAACUGUUUAUUAAAAACACAGCACUGUGCAAACACGAAAGUGGACGUAUACGGUGUGACGCCUGCCCGGUGCCGGAAGGUUAAUUGAUGGGGUCAGCGAAAGCGAAGCUCUUGAUCGAAGCCCCGGUAAACGGCGGCCGUAACUAUAACGGUCCUAAGGUAGCGAAAUUCCUUGUCGGGUAAGUUCCGACCUGCACGAAUGGCGUAAUGAUGGCCAGGCUGUCUCCACCCGAGACUCAGUGAAAUUGAACUCGCUGUGAAGAUGCAGUGUACCCGCGGCAAGACGGAAAGACCCCGUGAACCUUUACUAUAGCUUGACACUGAACAUUGAGCCUUGAUGUGUAGGAUAGGUGGGAGGCUUUGAAGUGUGGACGCCAGUCUGCAUGGAGCCGACCUUGAAAUACCACCCUUUAAUGUUUGAUGUUCUAACGUUGACCCGUGAUCCGGGUUGCGGACAGUGUCUGGUGGGUAGUUUGACUGGGGCGGUCUCCUCCUAAAGAGUAACGGAGGAGCACGAAGGUUGGCUAAUCCUGGUCGGACAUCAGGAGGUUAGUGCAAUGGCAUAAGCCAGCUUGACUGCGAGCGUGACGGCGCGAGCAGGUGCGAAAGCAGGUCAUAGUGAUCCGGUGGUUCUGAAUGGAAGGGCCAUCGCUCAACGGAUAAAAGGUACUCCGG
rnacentral:rRNA from 1 species